AUUGAACGCUGGCCGCAUGCUUUACACAUGCAAGUCGAACGGCAGCGCGGGCUUCGGCCUGGCGGCGAGUGGCGAACGGGUGAGUAAUGCAUCGGAACGUGCCCAGUAGUGGGGGAUAGCCCGGCGAAAGCCGGAUUAAUACCGCAUACGACCUGAGGGUGAAAGCGGGGGACCGAAAGGCCUCGCGCUAUUGGAGCGGCCGAUGUCGGAUUAGCUAGUUGGUGGGGUAAAGGCUUACCAAGGCGACGAUCCGUAGCUGGUCUGAGAGGACGACCAGCCACACUGGGACUGAGACACGGCCCAGACUCCUACGGGAGGCAGCAGUGGGGAAUUUUGGACAAUGGGGGCAACCCUGAUCCAGCCAUGCCGCGUGCGAGAAGAAGGCCUUCGGGUUGUAAACCGCUUUUGUUCGGGAAGAAAUCCUCUGGGCUAAUACCCCGGGGGGAUGACGGUACCGGAAGAAUAAGCACCGGCUAACUACGUG
rnacentral:rRNA from 1 species